GGAGAAGUGAAAGGAGUCUUGGAGGAACAGAAACUGUUUCCAUUGAUUUAAAUAAUUGCAUUGGUAUUUCAGAGUUUAUCCAAACCUUGGAACUUGAGAUUUCACUCUGAGAACACCCAAAUUGUACUUUCCAAACUGUUGCAAAACAUUGCCAAGAACUGACCAUCCAUGGCAGGUCUUUACUCAGUCUACAAAGAUAUAACAAAGAAAAUACAAUCUGUAACUGGCAAGUAAGAUGUGUGGUAUUCACAUGCCCUCUGAAUGGAGAGAAAUUGUGAGACAAGCAGAGAAGAAGGAAAAACAUAAUUCUUAUCUCUCUUGCUGUGCUGAAGUGGAAUGCAAUACAGAGAUUAUUUACCCAAGCACUAAUGAAGACUGAGCAUAUCUCAUAUAACAGCCAGCAUUUCUUUGGUGGUGUAGAACUGAAUGGGGCUCUUGGACUGCUACCAAGUACUGAGAGCUCUUAAUUGUCUUACAUCUUCUUAGACAAAACUAGGAAUUACCAAGAAUUGCACCAUUCUCCUUACAGAUAUUUUCGUUGUUUACAGCAAGUGACAAGGGAUUCUAAGUGAGAAUCAGAAAUAGAAGAUGGAAAUUUGUCACGGCAUGGCGGCUGUAUGUCCCCGGCCCGGCCCCGCGACGGCAACAAUAGGGGCAUGACAGAUCACCCUGGCAGACCCCGCAGAAAUUCCAGCCAUCAGCUGAGGAUUCGGCACAGGGAGAAACAGAAAGCAGCAUGUGUCCUGGGGUGGAACCGGGGAAAACUCCGCUACACAGCAAACUACCAGAGCACCACGUCCCAGGACGCUGACCCGACAGCAGGCACUAGCUUAUAAACAGGGGCGGUCUUGGGGCAGGCUAUAAUUUUUAACCAAUCGGGAGAGCUGGAGGUGGAACACAAGGCGGGGAAAUACAAUCUGUAAACCAAUGGAGAAUCUUAAGGGAGGGGAAAGGCUUAAGUAAAAAAUAGCAUUUCAAAGAAUACAAAACUGACAGGGAAGGUUCUGGAGGAAAGGGCAGGCUUGGGGAAGGAUUGACAUCUGAGGAGGGGAGGAGCAGGGAAGGUUUUUGGGGAAGAAGGGUAGGAACAGGAGCGAUUGACAACUUGUCAGGGAGUGGCUAGGCAACAAACAGGAGCGCUGACAGUUAACCGAGCUGAAUAACAACGAGGGAGCGAGUGUAAAUUUAGCAACAUAAAAUACGAAAUGGGGAACCUGUGCCACUCCGAGAGCUGAGGGAGUAAAACACAGAGGGAUUUCAAAACCACAAAUUAAACAGUCAAAAAAAGCCAAAUAAAGAAAACACACAACAGAAAUUGAUGGCUGAUGAUGUCCUGGAUUCCUCUGGGAGAGAGUUAGUUUCUUCUUAGUAGCUGGUGUUUUGGAUUCAGUAUGACAAUGAAGUUAAUUACACACUAAUGUUCUGGCUGUUAUUAAGUAGUGCUAAGGACUUGUCAGUGUCUUAUUUUCUGCCAGUGAGGAGCUGCACAUGAAGCCAGGGAGAAUAGCCGGGACAGGUGACCUGAACUGGCCAAAGGGAUAUUCCAAUCAUACAAUGUCAUGCCCAGUAUACAAAAUGGGGGAGUUACCCAGAAAGGAGGUCAUGUAAGGACUUGAAGAGGGCAGUUCUCUGUCUCCGAAGUCCAGAGAAGCACUUUGCAUAAGAUAAGCCACCAGAAGAAACUUAAGGAAUUUGCAAGAGGAAGAUGCUAAUUCCACACCUGAAAGACAUGAGGUCUGGAUAGCACAUCCUGGUUAAUGCAUCCAGACAAAUUACUCUGGCAAGCUGUGGGAAAGGAAGUAACUGCUCAUAUAUAUAGCACCUCAAGUUGUGGGAACAGCAUGUACCACUACCCCAUGGAUUCCCAGAACAUGUACUGUGUAAAGGUGGUACCCCCAGAAGAACAGCUCUGAGACCCCCAACACCAAAAAGCCUGGGGUGAAAAGGGACUAACAGCAUGCAGCUGGAUCCAUGGGUGGUGAUUAUAUUUUCUGAUCUCUCUCUCUCUCCCUUCCCUGCACCAGUUUUUUCUAUUUUUUCAAUCUAACUCAAAUUUACUGUUAAUUAAGACUGUAUUGACUUCAGCACAUGGUCUUGUUUUCACCUUAAUUCACGUAGAGGCAUCUUUCAUUAAUCCAUUCAUAACACACUGAUGGAGAUUCAGAAAUGGGUUGGACAUCAGCAGGUGAUGUGCAGUUGUAUUGUGCAUUGCUUGGUGGUUUUUUUUUUUUUGUCCUUGGAUAUAAUUUCAUUUCAAUUGUUUCUGUCAAAGAAAGUAGUUAGAAAAUGAAAUAAAUCAUUGAACAUGGCUACAUCACUGUGACUGCUAACUAGACUAUGCCUACAGGACGAAACACUUCCAUAUACUAUUUGCUGCAAAGAGAGGCUUCUCUGCUUAAAAUAGCAAUAAAAAGUUCUGACACUUGACCUGAAAAUAGCCUGAAUGCUGCCUUUCUUUGCCAAAGAUGUCAUUUUCCUACUGUUAUCAGCUCUGAUCUACAGCUUUGCAGCAUAGCUGCACACAGCCUCUUCCCAUCUGCUUUAACUAUUUAAAAUGAUUCACAUGGAUCUGCUUUAUUAUUUAUGGAGGGCUAAUGCUUAAGUGGCUUCAAUAGAAAUAUGGACCCAAUUCUGUUACAGAUACAUCCUAUUAAGAUUCCAGAACCUGUUCUCAAUGGGAUUUAACAGUUUGCUAAAUAUUUGUGUGUUUCCAUGUGAUUUAUAGCUGUUUGUAUUGUAAUGUCUCUACUGAAACAGUUUCAUUUUUCAAAAUAUUUUCAUUUUAUUCAUAGACAAGCCUGGUAUUCAAGAAUCUGGGUCUUAGUUGUAGAUAAUAUUACUAAUUGUCUUAUCUGAAUAAUUAAGUUUUACAACUGCCAGAAAAGAUAGCUCUUCACAGGCAUGCAAAGAACUGGGAUGAAGACAGAAAUAUGGUCUGCUGAUCUGUUCCUACUAAUCUAAUUAUUCUCCUGAAGUAUAUGAAUAAAAAAAAUGGGUAUCUGCCUCCCUUAGGCUUUCUACAAAAAUCACUGAAUCUUCAUAUAUUCUGUAAAUGUCAGUGACAAUAGCCUGGCAUUAAACAAUCCUUUAAAAGGACUGAAAAAGAAAGAUUUUAAUAGAGCUGUAAGGGAAACACACACUGCCUCACUAGGAAAAAUCUGAGAAGAGGGUUUGCAGGAAUGUGGAACAAUCUCCCUAUGGAUAUGAUCUUGCAUUAUUUACCUCAUAUGCUGCCAAUUAAACUGAACAGAUCUCUGAUAAAAAUAUUUAUGUGAAACUAGCUUUUUGGAGAAUGUGCUUGCCAUUUGGUUAUUAAUUCAGUGUGAGUUCUGCAGUCUGUGGUGGG